AUGGCUUCUGGUCUUGAGUGGCACUCCUAGAGAUUAGGAACGCGUAGUUGGUAAUCUCUAAUCUUUCUACAUCCAUAUAUGCUAAAUUGUAGUGUUGGAAAAAUGAGAGUUGCCUAUUUUCAAACUGUUGUCCAUUUCUCUGUUUUGGUGUGAUUUAGAAUGAAAAAAAAUUCUGCAAGGUAUAUUGUUAUGGAUGGCCUUUGUUUUGGUCUUCACAAUUUUUCUUUGUUUUGUUAGGGUCAUAAUAUAAAGUGGAUUCAUUGUUUCUAGGAAUGUGUAUAAUGUUCUCAAUUUUGAUACUUC
rnacentral:lncRNA from 1 species